rnacentral:SRP_RNA from 2 species
GCUGGGUGUGGUGGCGGGCACCUGUAAUCCCAGCUACUCAGGAGGCUGAGGCAGGAGAAUUGUUUGAACCCAGGAGGCAGAGGUUGCAGUGAGCCGAGAUCACGCCACUGCACUCCAGCCUGGGUGACAGAGCGAGACUCCGUCUCAA